rnacentral:rRNA from 1 species
CCCUUAGAUGUUCGGGGCUGCACAUGCGCUACACUGAAGGAAUCAACGUGUAUUUGCCCUUGCCCGAAAGGGUUGGGUAACCCGUUGAACCUCCUUCGUGCUAGGGAUUGGGGCUUGUAAUUAUUCCCCAUGAACGAGGAAUUCCCAGUAAGCGCGAGUCAUAAGCUCGCGUUGAUUACGUCCCUGCCCUUUGUACACACCGCCCGUCGCUACUACCGAUUGAAUGGUUUAGUGAGAUCCUCGGAUUGGUCCCGCCACGGGAGGAAACUUCCGAGGCGGAGUGCCGAGAAGACGAUCAAACUUGAUCAUUUAGAGGAAGUAAAAGUCGUAACA